GUAUACAUGUUCCCUUUGAUAAGAUCAUUCUAAUUUUAAUGCCAAAUUAGAGAAUUUAUUCCAAUUUCACGGUCCCAUAAACAUAGAAAAUGAUAGUGCGAGUGGGGCAUCCGUGUACUGUGGACACAUUCUUGUUUAUUUAUAAUUUUUCAGAGCAAAUCUAUUUUUCAUAAAUUCAGAUGACUUUAUUAAUAAGCAAAGUUAAAUUUAGUUUUACUACUUACAGAAAUAUGUUUGAGCUGUUGUAGCAAUGUGAUUAAUUGUGACUUUUUUGUUUUUGUUUUUUUUGUUUGAUGAAACCACCAGGUGAAGAAAUUAUGUUGUUCAGUUACUGGAGCUUAAAUCAUGUGACAAAUUUUAUAUUACAUUGUAUAAGCAAAAUACUCAGAGAUAUUACAAGUAAAACUGAGCAUUCAAUGUCUUCUUUGUUUAUUUGUGAUUAUUUUAUAUACAAAUGACAAAUCAUAG
rnacentral:lncRNA from 1 species